rnacentral:misc_RNA from 1 species
AACGCACCUUGCGCUCCCGGGUACUCCUGGGAGCAUGCCUGUUUGAGUAUCGCAUGCACCUCUCCCCCUGGGGGAUGUGGGCCGUUGGCUGCGGCCAUGGCCUGGAAUGCAUCAGGCUCGUCCUACGGAUGAGGGCAAUGGAGACAUGGCAACAUGACACUGUCCUUUGAGGUGGCACGGGUCCCUAUGGAACGGCCAGGCGUGUCUUGACACCCCCGGCAGACCCUACUCCUUCGUGAGUCUAUGGAUCUCACAUCAGGCAAGACCACCCGCUGAACUUAA